rnacentral:snRNA from 9 species
AUACUUACAUGGCGUAGGGAUACCGUAAUCAUGCAGACGGUUCCCCUAGGAUGAGGCUGCUCCAUUGCACUGCGGAGUGAUUGAUCCUUGCGAUUAUUUUUAUUUAUGGAACGAAGUUCCU